AAAUAAGAAACAAACAAUUGUAUUUAGUUUCGACCUAAAACCCUGACGUUAAAUCGUCCUUAUUUA
rnacentral:tRNA from 1 species